rnacentral:lncRNA from 1 species
GAGAAUGCAGGGGAAGGAAACUUGUCAAUUAUGUUUAUUUCUAAGCCAAAAUAAAAUGAGCCGCCGUAAAAUUAACCUUGGGUAAUAACAGUGCAUGUAAGGCUCGUCUCGGAGGGGUGUCUUUUUUUCUGUCUUCUUUUUUUUAGUUAUAUUUUUAAUAACUUACACUUUUUUCCAUUAUUCUCUUUCUUUCACUAUUCUUUAUUCCUUUUUUUUUCUUUGUCCUUUGUUCUCUAUUCUGUUAAUUCACAUCCAUACCCUCUUAUGUGUAUGUGGACUUACUGUAG